GAUCAAUUUCAACAUCAAAAAGUUACAUACCGUGGGGAGGGCGGGGCCUCACCGCCAUGCUGAAUAGUCGCACUAUGUUAGAGUUCUGUGCAGAAUCCUGAAUAUUAUCUAAAUAGCUGACUUUUUGUUCGUAAUUAUCGAACCUAAAGUUACUGCAGAAGUAGUCUAGUUUGCAGGCUUAAGUGGAGAAGUGGCUGAUAUGGAAGUUGAACCUCUCCGGUCAAGCCCCAGAGUUCCCCCACCUUGCCCGUGAGGGGUAUCCUGGUGUCUAUCAGCCUUGGGUCCUACAGAAACAUAGGAGGGAGUGAGGUCUAGCACAAUGUCCCACCUAACAUGGUGGCUGCCAUGUGCCAACCACACACUUACAACUCACUACCAUGUCUCGGCUUCAUAGAAUCUUCAAUGUUUUCUGUGCAAAGAAAGCCAGCAGAAUGCUGCCCCUCACGCACAG